rnacentral:rRNA from 1 species
GACGAACGCUGGCGGCGUGCCUAAUACAUGCAAGUCGAGCGGACCGAAGGGAGCUUGCUCCUUUAGGUUAGCGGCGGACGGGUGAGUAACACGUGGGCAACCUGCCCUGCAGACUGGGAUAACUUCGGGAAACCGGAGCUAAUACCGGAUAACACCGAAAACCGCAUGGUUUUCGGUUGAAAGGCGGCUUUUAGCUGUCACUGCAGGAUGGGCCCGCGGCGCAUUAGCUAGUUGGUGAGGUAACGGCUCACCAAGGCGUCGAUGCGUAGCCGACCUGAGGGGGUGACCGGCCACACUGGGACUGAGGCACGGCCCAGACUCCUACGGGAGGCAGCAGUAGGGAAUCUUCCGCAAUGGACGAAAGUCUGACGGAGCAACGCCGCGUGAGCGAAGAAGGCCUUCGGGUCGUAAAGCUCUGUUGUCAGGGAAGAACAAGUACCGUUCGAAUAGGGCGGUACCUUGACGGUACCUGACGAGGAAGCCACGGCUAACUACGUGCCAGCCGCCGCAGUAA